UACGAAGGGGGCUAGCGUUGCUCGGAUUGACUGGGCGUAAAGGGCGCGUAGGCGGUUCGUACAGUCAGACGGUGAAAUUCCUGGGCUCAACCUGGGGGCUGCGUUUGAUACGUGCGGACUUGAGUGCGGAAGAGGGUCGUGGAAUUCCCAGUGAGAGGUGGAAAUUCGUAGAUAUUGGGAAGAACACCGGUGGCGAAGGCGGCGACCUG
rnacentral:rRNA from 1 species